rnacentral:rRNA from 1 species
UACGAGGGGUGCAAGCGUUGCUCGGAAUUAUUGGGCGUAAAGGGUAGGUAGGUGGUCUCAUUUGUCUGGGGUGAAAGCCUUGAGCUUAACUCAAGAAGUGCCCCGGAAACGGUGAGACUGGAGUCUUGGAGAGGGUCGUGGAAUUCCCGGUGUAGCGGUGAAAUGCGUAGAGAUCGGGAGGAACACCAGAGGCGAAAGCGGCGACCUGGGCAAGUACUGACACUCAACUACGAAAGCGUGGGGAGCAAACAGG